UCGCUUCUACCCCUGGAGCUGGACUUCCGGGGGUGGCCGGAAGUGAGCGCCGCCAUCUUGUUUCUGUGGUUUUGGAGGAACAGUUGGCCUCCAGCGGGAGCUGCGCUUUUUUGCUCCUCCUGGCCCUUCCGCCCGCCUCCGCGUUGAGUUUGCGUGGGUGAUUCCCGAGAGCAUUGCAGGCUGGAAGUGCAACCUCCUGCCAUGGUGAAGAUCUUUGUGGGAGGGGUCUCCCCUUCUGUCACAGUGGAUGAGCUGAAGAAGCUCUUCGAGCAGUAUGGACAGGUAAACGAGUGUGACAUCCUGAAGAACUUCGCCUUUGUGCACAUGGAAAAGGAGGACGAGGCCCACAAGGCCAUCAGCGAGCUGCACAAGCAGGAGUUCUACGGGGCCCACCUGACGGUAGAGUACGCCACCUCCAAGAUCCGUAACGCCACCAAGAUCUAUGUGGGCAAUGUCUCCAGCAAGGCCACCACAGCCCAGAUCAAGGAGCUCUUUGAGAAGUUUGGCAAGGUGGUGGAGUGUGACAUUGUCAAGAACUACGCCUUUGUCCACAUGGCCAAGGAGAGAGAAGCCAUGGACGCCAUCUUGAACCUCAACGACAUGCCUCUGGAGGACCAGAAGAUCUUUGUAACACUGUCCAAGAGCAACAACUCGCUCAAGACAACCAAGGGGACCUCUGUGCCACCUCCACCACCUGCACUGCCCAGUUACUACUUCCCCAGGGGGCGCAUCCCCCCGCCACCGUCUCCAUAUACCCCAUAUGCAACCCGAUCUUGGUAUGACCGGGAAUAUUACGACCGCUUUGCUUAUGAGCUCUAUGACCGGGCGUUGACUGCCAGGACAGCAUACGAGAGGGCCCUGCCACCUCCGCCCUCUACCCCCACUGCCUACAGAGAGAGGAGCCCUGUGGGCAGGCGGACGACUGCUGCAGUGGCCCAGUAUACUGAUCCCUACGCUGCUGCGGCUGCUGCCCAGACAUACAGCCAAGUGUACAACCAAACGGGUUAUGCAGCAGUGGCGGCUGCAGCCGCAGCAGCAGCUACCUACUCCCAGUACAGCAUGGGUGCCACCUACAGUGCAGGGGAGUACUAUGAGAAAUACAGCAACGGCUAUGCCACUCAGUAUGCCCAGACGUACUAAUCUCACUGUGCUCAUAGCACCCGGUGCUCGGAGGCGUAAGGGGGAAAGGGAUCUCGGCUGAAAAGGUGCAGGCAGAGCUGAUUCAAGACAGCGCAAUGCCUUUAACCACCACCCUGCUGAAGGAAGCGUGAAGCCUCCACUACAAGCUUGAGUGAAUAUACCACUCCCCUUGUCCCCUACCUGCGCUUCUUCCUCUUCUGGUGCUCUCGGGUUAGCUAUUUGGCAGUCCAGAGGGCACCCUCUGGUGAGAGCGCAAGGCUAGCAGGACUCAUGGGUUCUAUUCCAGCAACUCCCUUCCCCUCCCUGUGCCUCAAUUUCCCCACAGCAGAGAUUGCGUUGAAAUCUUUGGGUAAGCACUGUAUGUGCAAAGAGAUUUUGGCUUCUUGCUGGGGAUGCUGCCUCCACCCAUCUAAAGCGCUCCACCUAAGCCCCACUCCCCCCCCUUUGUGAUGUCCUCUGGCUAGCUCAUGUUCCUGCCCUUACUGGGUUUGAAGAUCUAGGGACAGGCCCACUCCUUAGCACAUGUAUGUCUUAGCCUGGGGAUCGCUUUGGUCGUUCCAGAUCCCCCCGCAUGCAUCCGCUAGCACACCCUGCCUCCAUUUGCUUUUUAGUAGCUGUCUUCAGUUGCCAGAGACAAUGGCAUAGGAAUCCAUUGCGCUGCUGAAUAGUCAGCUUGAGCUGCUUUCUCUCCUAGGAGCAGACUUGGGGCAGAACGUGCUCACCGGCUGGGGCCAGGAAUUGCAUCCCCCAUUGGUACAGCAUUGGGUAAUGCCUUCUCUUGAUGUGGGAUACACAACUAGGUGGACCACUGGUGUGUGAGAGAAGUGAUAGAGAGACCCUUUCAUUCCCCCAGCAGCACGUCUGGGAGGUGAAGGGGGGAGCAUCAGAAAAAAACAGCCGACAGGGUAACCGUCUCCCUCUGGCAUCUGGCCAUGGCAGAUUGAGGUAAGGCAGAAAGACCUCCCCGAUGAGGGUUUGAGCCUGUGUGUGUUGGAGACGAUGCUGCGAGCAGGGGAGUGGGGUACUGGGGGGAUGGUGCAGUGGUUAGAGCAGGGAGCGUCUACCCCUAUGAGCUCGUAGACAGAUCACUUCCUCUGCCUGUUUCAGUUUCCCCAUGUGUGACUGUGGGAGCCUUUCAGUGCCUGGAGAGCCUCUAAUGGAAAGGGCUGUAGAAGCACCAUUGCCAUUCAGCCCAGGCUCAGAGGUCAGACUCCUUCCAUCCCCUGACCAAGGGGUUGUGGGGUGAUGUGCCCCAAGAACAGAAUUUGGAAGAGCCUGGCAGCUCAGGGGAAGCUGCUCUGAGCGUCCAAUCAGAACGGUCUGGAUCUGGCCGUGGGGGAGCAUUAGGGGGCAGGUCUUAGUUCCAUAAGCAUCCAAAGAGGGGGCGCAGUAUCUGCUUUCAGCACAAUUCAUGGACAGACAUUUGUCAGCCUAACUUCUGAGGCAUCCUGUUGGGACUAUCAAGUCUGCUGACUCCACAGAGUCCUUGGAGCUGGCAGCCAUGCGCCAUCCGAGCUCUGUGUUUAAAUCUGUUCCAUUUUACGCUGAAGGCCAGCUGUUAACCCAAGCUCCUCCAGGCCAAGGGGAAACCAAAGGGCAGGAUGCAAAGCCCCUAGAUCCUUUUAGAAACACAGGCAGGAGGGGCUAGUGACUCUAACUCGCCCAUCUAUUCUAGAUUGACCCUAUCCCAAAGAGAUCUUACAUCAAGGUAACCCCCAGACCAGGAACUCUUUUGGCCUCAGCUGACAUGUCAGGGGAAGAGCAGGAUUUCUGGAGGACCCACCAAGCAUCCUGCUAGCAGAGGUGAAAGCUGACUUGAGGGAUUCCCCGAAGAUCUCCCAGUCUCUUCUUUCUAACCACUGUGAGCCUUAAACACCCCUGGGGAAUCCAGCCUGAGAUGAAGCAGGAGGUAAGCGCGAUUGUCCCCCCUUCCCUUUCACUCGCGCUCCAAGAGGAAGGAACAGUGGUGUGCUUCUGUCACGGACAGCACAAGAUCUGGGUUCUGUUCCCUGGUUCUGGCACUGACCUCAGGGCAAGUCUGUGGAUCUCAUCUGUAAAAGGGGCAAGGGUUGAUUCAUGUUUGGUUAUUAUCUCCACUGGCUGGUGCUGAGUCAAGUAGUAUUAGAAAUCCCUGCCACAGAGAGGUGGUGUUCUGGAAGCACGUGCCUCCUGCCUUACUGGUGUAAUCUAGUUUAGGUCUUUAUAUGGUUCCCAUAGUGACCUGAUCACUGUCUGCAGCUGGGGUGGAGAUUUGAGAGUAGAGCAGUCUUUAAUCUCACAAAGGCAGAACAAGAGCCAGUCGGUGGACGUUGAAGCGAGACAAAUUCAGACUGGAAAUAAGGCAGAUUUUUAACCCCGAGAGGAAUUAGCCAGUGGACAUAGGGACGUUGUGGAUUCUCCAUUGCUUGGAGUCUUUAAGUCGAGACUGGCUAUCUUUCCUAAACCUGCGCUGUAGCUCUCACAAAUUACAGGCGUGAGGCAGGAAAAAGGAUUCUCUGACCUACAGUAUGCAGGAGGUGAGCAUAGAUGAUCAGAAUGGGCCCUUCUGGUCUUAAAAGCAGUGAAUCAUUUCCGCAGUAUGUGAGCACCUCAGUUUUGAAUGGAUUUAUCUUCCCAACACCUCUGUGAGGCAGGGCAGCGCUGUUCUCCCCAUUUUACAGAUGGGGAAACUGAGGCACAAAGCAACUAAGUGACUUGGCCAAGUUCACACAGGCAGACUGGCAGAGCAGGGACUCAAACCCAGGUCUCCUGACUCCUAGUCCAGCACUUGAGCCUUAAGAUCAUUCUUCAUCUUCUAAGUUAUGUAAUAUUAGGGUUGCCUGCCUGAAGAAAUACAGGCCCUUGGCUCUGGUUAGGUGGCCCUACUAGUGCUAUGAGCCCAGGCUGAAUAUAGGGUGAAUGCGCCCUAAGGUGAACAUACAGAUCUAGGGCAGCCAACAGUUCCCAGCUUCAGUUCCUUGGCGCUACUGCAUCAAAAUGUGUGUGCUCUCCUCUUCCUCAUCAACCUGAACAGGAAGGGGCAGAUUGAGGUAAAUCCAGACCUUUGGCACAACAUUCCACCCACAACAUGAUCUGUGUGUAGAGUGGCCUGGUUGCAACAAGGACUGAAAGGAAGCCUGGAGCUGGGGAGCCUCCAGCUGAAAUUCUCUUCUCUCCUUACUCUCUCCUAGAGCAGAGUGGAUUGGGCCUUCUCUCUGUCUCUCUCUCUUUCUCUCCCUCCCAGCCCAACUCCACCAUCCCUUGUUCUGCGAAAGCAGCGAGCUCCGUCCCCGCCACAGUGCUCUGGAUGCUGUCGGAAGGCUCCCUGCUCGCUUCCCUCCUUGAUCCCUGACAUGGGAGGUCCCGCAACAGAGAUGGGGCCAGCAGAGCUCGUGUGCGGGACGAGAACCACCACGUCUCUACCACCGGGUACCUCCAGCAAUAGUCUCGACUCCCUGUUAAUUGCAGUUGGCUCCGGCAGAAAAGGAUGGAGUGUGGGGACUGCAGGCUUCUCUGCAUUGGAUGAGCAUGGCGAGCUGCUCCUGGUAGGUGUGUGUGUGGAGGCCAAAGGCAGGGGUAGAAGCCUAGGCUCAGUGCUUUGUGGGUUGGAGCAGUGGAAUACAUUACCUUCCUAGGGGGCCCUGAGCAGCAGUAACUAUAAAGCCUCUCUCAAUCAGAGAUCUGGGUUAAACUUGACCACAGGAGCUACAUGAGACGGGUUGUGUUUGUUUUGCGGUUCCCCAGUGGACUAAACCACCCCCCUAAGCGGGCCAGAUUGGCAGUGUCAGCUCAGGAGAAGCUCAGGAAUGGACUAGUGGAGGUGGAGGGUGUUGCUGGAGGAUGUAAUUGGGGGCCAUUGACUGCUGUGUGAGAGAGGAGUCUGGGGGUGGGAUAGCAGGGGGCUGAGGUGGGUAUUGAGGGGGAUCAGCAGAGUUGGAAGAGGAAGCCAGGGGACUGUGGGUCAGGAUUGAGAGAGCCCUUGACAGAACUGUGUAGCGGGGGAGUCGGGUUGGGAUAGCUGGGCAGCUGUGGGUUGGGAUUAAUGAGCAUUGGCAGAUCUGGGGGUGGGGGUGUGAAGCAGAGCCCAGCCUGGGAUAGCAUGAGGGCUGCGGGCCAGGAUUGAGGGGCAUCAGCAGAGCUGUGAGUGGACCCAGAACUGGAUUGCCUACUAGUUCUGUGCAGCUGGUGCUAAGCUGCCGUGACAUUUCGCGUUGGAACUCCGCCAGCACUACAGGCAGCCCCCUCUGCAGAACCCUGGCAUCUCUGAAAGAAGUUGGCUUCUGCUGUAUCAGUGGCUACCUGGCUCCAGCCCUUAUCCGAGGCUUGAGUGAAAUGUGCUGCCCUAGCAUAGGGCUCUGGGAUUGGUGGGUGGCACCUAGUACAGCAUCACAAGGGUAGGGGCGAGGCUUGGAACUAAUAAACAUCCUUGUUUA